rnacentral:lncRNA from 1 species
CUUUUGAUUCCAUAGUGAUAUGUCUUUCUGAAGGUGUGACUUCCGCUGUCUCUGAUGUUUGUUUCAGAAGUUGCAUUUUCUUCUACGUUUUCACGUUUUUCUUCUUCGCCUUCGCGCUUCUGAAGGUACGUUAUUGUUAUUCCUGCUCGCGGUUUUGAAGGUGCGAUUUCAUGUACUGUUUAUGCGAUUUUUGCUUUGUUGUUGUUAUUUUAUAUAUGUGAACUUUUUAUUUGGCCUUUGCAAUUUGGGGAUAUUUUGUUUAUCCUUUGACGGGAUUUUUG